CAUCGUGCGCGGCUACCGGUUGGGUUCUGGAUCGGGUACUAGGAUUGGUGAUUUGAGUGGCUAAUUUCGAGAGUGGUGUUGACAGCGAGAGGCGUCUAUGAUAAUGGAGGCAGCGACAAGCACAAAUAUGCUCUAGCUUUGAGGGGUGUAGAAGCUAGAGAGAACUGAUUAUGUGAGGAUACAACCCUUGAAAGCUAUGGAUAUUCCUACAGAUACACUGCUGGUAUUGUUCCGCAAUCUGUUUACACGUCAGGGAAGUCGGUUUUCUGCCGUCCUGCUGCUCAUCUACACUAAUUUUCCUCUAUGGAUGUGGUUCGUGUUUG